UACGUAGGGGGCAAGCGUUAUCCGGAUUUAUUGGGCGUAAAGCGCGCGUAGGCGGCCGAUCGCGUCGGAUGUGAAAGCUCGGGGCUCAACCCUGAGAGGCCAUUCGAUACGGGUCGGCUAGAGGCAGGUAGGGGAAGGUGGAAUUCCUGGUGUAGCGGUGAAAUGCGCAGAUAUCAGGAGGAACACCGAUGGCGAAGGCAGCUUACUGGGCCGAUACUGACGCUGAGGAGCGAAAGCGUGGGGAGCGAACAGG
rnacentral:rRNA from 1 species